AGUGGGGAAUAUUGGACAAUGGGCGCAAGCCUGAUCCAGCCAUGCCGCGUGAGUGAUGAAGGCCUUAGGGUUGUAAAGCUCUUUUGUCCGGGAAGAUAAUGACUGUACCGGAAGAAUAAGCCCCGGCUAACUUCGUGCCAGCAGCCGCGGUAAUACGAAGGGGGCUAGCGUUGCUCGGAAUCACUGGGCGUAAAGGGCGCGUAGGCGGACUUUUAAGUCGGAGGUGAAAGCCCAGGGCUCAACCCUGGAAUUGCCUUCGAUACUGGGAGUCUUGAGUUCGGAAGAGGUUGGUGGAACUGCGAGUGUAGAGGUGAAAUUCGUAGAUAUUCGCAAGAACACCGGUGGCGAAGGCGGCCAACUGGUCCGAAACUGACGCUGAGGCGCGAAAGCGUGGGGAGCAAA
rnacentral:rRNA from 1 species